rnacentral:rRNA from 1 species
GACGAACGCUGGCGGCGUGCUUAACACAUGCAAGUCGAACGGAAAGGCCUGCUUUCCCUUGUGGAUUGCGGGUGCUCGAGUGGCGAACGGGUGAGUAACACGUGAGUGAUCUGCCCCCAACUUGGGUAUAAGCCUGGGAAACUGGGUCUAAUUCCCGAUAGGACUGCAGGGUGGUGCCUGUGGUGGAAAACGAUUUUCUAGUGGUUGGGGAUGAGCUCGCGGCCUAUCAGCUUGUUGGUGGGGUAAUGGCCUACCAAGGCGGCGACGGGUAGCCGGCCUGGGAGGGUGGACGGCCCCAUUGGGACUGAGAUACGGCCCAGACUCCUACGGGAGGCAGCAGUGGGGAAUAUUGCACAAUGGGCGGAAGCCUGAUGCAGCGACGCCGCGUGGGGGAUGACGGCCUUCGGGUUGUAAACUCCUUUCGACCGCGAGGAAGCCACCUGGUUGGAAGGGUGGUGACGGUAGUGGUAGAAGAAGCACCGGCUAACUACGUG